rnacentral:rRNA from 1 species
GAUGAACGCUGGCGGCGUGCCUAAUACAUGCAAGUCGAGCGAACUGAUUAGAAGCUUGCUUCUAUGACGUUAGCGGCGGACGGGUGAGUAACACGUGUGCAACCUGCCUGUAAGACUGGGAUAACUUCGGGAAACCGAAGCUAAUACCGGAUAGGAUCUUCUCCUUCAUGGGAGAUGAUUGAAAGAUGGUUUCGGCUAUCACUUACAGAUGGGCCCGCGGUGCAUUAGCUAGUUGGUGAGGUAACGGCUCACCAAGGCAACGAUGCAUAGCCGACCGUAGAGGGUGAUCGGCCACACUGGGACUGAGACACGGCCCAGACUCCUACGGGAGGCAGCAGUAGGGAAUCUUCCGCAAUGGACGAAAGUCUGACGGAGCAACGCCGCGUGAGUGAUGAAGGCUUUCGGGUCGUAAAACUCUGUUGUUAGGGAAGAACAAGUACAAGAGUAACUGCUUGUACCUUGACGGUACCUAACCAGAAAGCCACGGCUAACUACGUGCCAGCCGCCGCCGUAAAAC